CAGAGAACUAGGAAAGUAAUGGUGGACUCUCAUGAAGCACAAAGACAGAUAAUGUUUGAGGCAAAUUCCUUCACCGGCCCUGCGUAUGAGAAAUUCUGCAAUGAUGCCCAGCGGCAUGCUACUCUCAAGCUGGAGGUCGAGCUUAGGAACUGGAGGUCCUGCUUCGUGAGCUACGUCAGUGCUCAGAAGGCGUACAUCGAAUCCCUUGAUGGUUGGUUGUCCAAGUUCAUGCUCACAGACACCAUCCGUUAAUCCCGGGGAUCUCCUUGAUCGCGCUCGACAGGACCAGCGAGUAGCACACUACGCUGUCGACAACCGGAUCCUCCUCACAACUGACUCCGGCAUGGGCUUGCUCGCACUCGACAGGACCAGCGAGUAGCACACUACGCUGUUGACAACCGGAUCCUCCUCACAACUGACUCCGGCAUGGUACCCAUUCCAACCCAAGAAGACGACUCAAGGGAGGACUGAUCUAUAUGUAGGCAGAUGGAUGAAUUCCAAGCCAUGAGAUAAAGUACCCUAAACCGAACUUACUAUUUAUUUGCAGUUUGCGAGUACACUUGUACUUCCCUGAUUUCUGCCCCAAAUAGCAUGCUUCCAAAUCCAUGUGUAGUUCCAUGCCUGCUAUGUUUCCAAUCAGAUAAUUUUGCCACCAAAAUUUCUGGUUAUUUAGAUCGCACUUUUCCGUGGGACAAUGCAGAAAAGGUGUGUUUUGAUGCUCCCAAUAUAAAGGGUCAGGCUUUUCUCAUAAUGAUUCAGGGAGAUAAAAUUUCUUUUAGAAUGUUUACCACUUUGGCUUGCUUUUGUAAUGAACCAAGAUGAAUGAUGUUUGCAAAACUGAAGCUUCAACUACAAUGCUAGGUUCUUAGAUGUUAUGAAGUUUCAAGUGUUCUACUGCUAUCUAUUUCCUACUCGCUCCACUUCUUUUGUAAGGCAUAUUUUGAUUUGAUCAGUUAAUGCUUUGAAUAAUAAUUACUCUAUUAAUAGUUGCUGCAUGUGAAUAAGUUAAUAUUGGAUUCAUUUCUUUGGGGAGCUAAGCCAUGUAUUUGCAAUUUUAGUAUUAGUUAACAUAAAAUAGAGAAAUGUCUGGUAGCUUCGUAGGUAGUUACUCCAUUAGUAGGUGGUGCAUGUGAAUAAGUUAAUAUUGGAUUCA